UACGGGAGGCAGCAGUGGGGAAUAUUGCACAAUGGGCGCAGGCCUGAUGCAGCCAUGCCGCGUGUAUGAAGAAGGCCUUCGGGUUGUAAAGUACUUUCAGUCGUGAGGAAGGUGUUAAGGUUAAUAACCUUAGCAAUUGACGUUAGCGACAGAAGAAGCACCGGCUAACUCCGUGCCAGCAGCCGCGGUAAUACGGAGGGUGCGAGCGUUAAUCGGAAUUACUGGGCGUAAAGGGCACGCAGGCGGUUAAUUAAGUUGGAUGUGAAAUCCCCGGGCUUAACCUGGGAAUGGCAUUCAAGACUGGUUAGCUAGAGUCUUGUAGAGGGGGUAGAAUUCCAUGUGUAGCGGUGAAAUGCGUAGAGAUGUGGAGGAAUACCGGUGGCGAAGGCGGCCCCUGGACAAAGACUGACGCUCAUGUGCGAAAGCGUGGGGAGCAAACG
rnacentral:rRNA from 1 species